rnacentral:lncRNA from 1 species
UUAUUAUUAUUAUUAUUAUUAUUCUGAGUGUAAAGUCUAAACUAUCCCUUGAUUCUACAUUUUCUUUCUCACAAUUUCCAGCUUUCAGCAGAGACAUCUUUUAACAGCAUCUCCAAGUUAUGAGAAGCUUCGUGGCAUAGAUUCAAUUCAGGCUUAGCUCUUUAUUUUCCAAGGUCAGAUUCACAUCAUGUUUUAAUAUUCUAUUUUCAGCUUGGAUUUCCAUGGUCUCUGUACCCUCCUAGAAGACACAUUCAUCCUAAAUUGACUUGGUUUAUUCAGAGGCUCCUGGAUAAAGAGUCCCCCAGUGUUGGCCUCCUCUAUCUACUUCUUACACCAACCGUCCUUCCCCAGAAGCUGAACGGGACAGAAGCGGGGAGGAGAGAAACAGCGUGGCCUAGUGGAAAGGGCCCAGGCCCGGGAGCCAGAGGACCUGGGUUCCAACUCUGACUCCACCACCCAUCUGCUGUGUGAACCUGGGCAAGUUGCUUCACUUCUCUGGACCUCAAUCACUUCAUUUGUAAAAUGGGGGGAUUUUAGAAUGUGAGCCCAUUGUUGGGCAGGAACUGUCUCUAUUUUGCCGAAUUGUAUGUUCCCAAGCGCUUAGUACAGUGCUCUGCACACAAUAAGCACUCAGUAAAUACAAUUGAAUGAAUGAAUGAAUGAAUGAAUGAAUACGGGACAGGGACCGUGUCCAACCCGACUAUCUUGUAUUCAACGUGGCUCCUGCACAGUGGCUGGCACAUAGAAAACACUUAACAAUAACAUUAAAAACAAAACAAAAAAAAGAAGAGAGUGGAUGGGAGAGUGGGGACUGGGGAGGCCUCAGUGAAGAGCUUGUGUUCAUUCAUUGAUUGAUAAUUCAUUCUUAUUUACUGACUAUCCUCUUGGGUGCAAAGCACUGUACUAAGCUCUGGGAAAGAUCUGGUUGAGAAUAAGACCCCAUCCUCAUGGAGUAAGUGAAUUAAUUAAUUCAUUCUUAUUUAUUGACUAUCCUCCUGGGUGCAAAUCACUGUAUUAAACUCUGGGAAAGCCUUGGAUGAGAAUGAGACCCCAUCCUCAAGGAGUAAAGGUUGCAGGUGUGUAUAAUUAAGGCUGUUUUUCCAGAUCCUUUUAAUGAUAGGCAGGUGCAAAUCUUCUCCUAAAUAGCCUUCUGCCUCUUCCUUUUCUGAUUCUACAGCUCCACCCCCCAGAAACCCAGUCUCUCCAUUAGGUGUCCUACAAUGGGGCAAGUGGCAGUGCCCCUUUAAAGCCCCAGAGUCUUGUGUGCCUUUCUUUUUCUUCAGUCGGGUCAGUGGGCUGUACUUGCCAUAGGGUGUGGAGAGGAGAUGUAGUGUGUUUUUCUGGGGGUUUGGUGGUUAGCUUCUCUUUCAUUCAGCUGUGGUAGUUGAUGACUUGGUAGUUGAUGUAUUGGAUUAAGAGUCCCCCCAAAGUUGGCUUUCUUUGCCUACUUCUUAUACCAAUGGCCCUGGUGAUGCUGAGGGGGGCAGGGCAAAUGGUUUGGCUUUCAUGGGUCAGGAAUAUCUUGUCUUGAUGCUUUUGGUGGGCUACUUAAGGUUGUUCUAAUUGAUGUUGCCUAUAUUAGUGAUGGGGUGACUUGCGAGGGGAGUUGAUUUUACAUGGAUGAGUCAGAAAUGACUAAGGUGUUUAAGGUGGGGAUAUUGGUGACUUUAUUGUUUAUGGUGAUUGAGGGCAUUGAGGAAUGGGCUGGUCUCAAGUGUUUGAAUUUGAGGGGUGGGGAGGGAUACCCAAGUCUGGGAUGAUGAUAAUUACAAUAAUGAUAGUAUUUGUUAAGUGCUUAGUAUAUGCUAAGCGUUGUUCUAAGUGCUGGGGGUGAUACAAGGUAAUUAGGUUGGACACGAUCCUUGUCCCAUGUGUCUCAUUCUUAAUCCCCAUCUUUACAAAUGAGGUAAUGAGGGCACAGAGAGGUAAAGUGACUUGCCCCAAGAUCAUACAGAAGGCAAGUGGCAGAGUUCGGAUUAGAACCUAUGUCCUUCUGACUCCGAGAAUGAGUCCUACAUUAAUGA